rnacentral:lncRNA from 1 species
GUGCAUUUAUUUUAUUUCUUUUCUUUUGGUUAUAUAUGCAUUAGAAUAUAAACAACUGUUAUGCAAUUGUUUUAUAAUCUCAACUUGCAGAGAAUCCAAGUAUCCCUGCAAGAAUGACUUUUUGUGUAUCGCGCAUGAAUAGAUUACAAAAGUAGUUUCGGAAACAUGGUUUAUCGAAGUGUAAACCAAGAGAAAAAACUCUACUUGACC